UAGUAGGUGUUCAAGUUAGGG
ensembl:piRNA 21ur-5143 ncRNA